rnacentral:rRNA from 1 species
CCUACGGGUGGCAGCAGUGAGGAAUAUUGGUCAAUGGGCGCGAGCCUGAACCAGCCAAGUCGCGUGAAGGAUGACUGCACUGCGGGUUGUAAACUUCUUUUAUCAAGGAAUAAAGUGAGGCACGUGUGCCUUUUUGUAUGUACUUUAUGAAUAAGGAUCGGCUAACUCCGUGCCAGCAGCCGCGGUAAUACGGAGGAUCCGAGCGUUAUCCGGAUUUAUUGGGUUUAAAGGGAGCGUAGAGGGGUUGUUAAGUCAGUUGUGAAAGGUUGCGGCUCAACCGUAGAAUUGCCAUUGAUACUGGCAGCCUUGAGUACAGUAGAGGUAUGCGGAAUUCGUGGUGUAGCGGUGAAAUGCUUAGAUAUCACGAAGAACUCCGAUUGCGAAGGCAGCUUACUAAACUGCCACUGACAUUGAGGCUCGAAAGUGUGGGUAUCAAACAGGAUUAGAUACCCCAGUAGUC